GACGAACGCUGGCGGCGUGCUUAACACAUGCAAGUCGAACGGAAAGGCCCUGCUUUUGUGGGGUGCUCGAGUGGCGAACGGGUGAGUAACACGUGAGUAACCUGCCCUUGACUUUGGGAUAACUUCAGGAAACUGGGGCUAAUACCGGAUAGGAGCUCCUGCUGCAUGGUGGGGGUUGGAAAGUUUCGGCGGUUGGGGAUGGACUCGCGGCUUAUCAGCUUGUUGGUGGGGUAGUGGCUUACCAAGGCUUUGACGGGUAGCCGGCCUGAGAGGGUGACCGGCCACAAUGGGACUGAGAUACGGCCCAGGCUCCUACGGGAGGCAGCAGUGGGGAAUAUUGCACAAUGGGCGGAAGCCUGAUGCAGCAACGCCGCGUGCGGGAUGACGGCCUUCGGGUUGUAAACCGCUUUCGCCUGUGACGAAGCGUGAGUGACGGUAAUGGGUAAAGAAGCACCGGCUAACUACGUG
rnacentral:rRNA from 1 species